GCCUAGGCUGGAGCGCCACAGGAGCUCGCGCCACCGGAACUGCCGCCGCCGGAGCCGUAGCCGCCACGGAAGCGGCCCGAGCCGCCGCCCACGCUGUCGCAGGAGCCAACACCGCGGGAAACCAGUGCCGCCGCUGCUGUAGCCUUCAGAGCGCAGGAAUCUGUAGAGCCAACGCCACGUCGGAGCGAUGCUGCAGGAGCACAGGCACCCUGGCAGCCAGUGCCGCCUCCAGAGUGUGGGAUCCCCUGGGGCCAGGGCACGAAGCCGCCGCCGCCCCCAGAGCACAGGAACUGUCGGAGCCAACGCCGCGCCAGGAGCAGGAGCCACCUAGGAGGGAACGCGGCUAGAGUCGUCCUUUCCUGGACCCUGGAGACACCUGCCGCCGCCAUCCACAGAACACAGGAGCCAAAGCCACUAUUGCCGCCUUCAGAGUUCAGGAGCCGGCACCGGCACCUCCGCCUCCAGGAACAGGAGCGCAGCCCUUGCCAGAGCACAAGAGCACAGGAACCACUGAACGCAGGAGCCACUGCCGCCAGAGUUCAGAGCCGCGACGACAGGACCCUAGCCCAAAGGCUGCUGCACCAGGCUUGGCGGUGGUGGCUCCUGCAGCUAAGGCGGGCGCGAGGAAGGACAGCCCGAUCACUCCAACCGCGUGAUCACCCGCGGAUUCCUGUCUUCUCCUCCAGGGGCAGAGACCCUGCAGAAGACUGGAGUGCCUUGAAGAAGGAGAGAGUAGGGACUGGUUUCCCAUUGCCAUGACGACUGCCAUUAAAGGAAGCAGCCAAGUGAUGCCAGUUGAUAAUGGAAUCAAACAUGGUGAUUUUCAGAAGAAUUCACUGAGUUAAGGAGGGGAUGCGAGCUUCUGGAUGAAAACUUGGACAGUCUGGACUCCUCACUGUGCCUUUACUAUUGCCAUGUCUGGAAGGCCUUCUCUUUCACUCUCUUUGGUGAUGACUGAGCUGCUUCAGAUAGGAAAAACUCUGAGGCUCUCCUGGAAUGAGUAAUCAGCUAUCCUGACUACAGACUGAACCUCUCGCCCCUGAGGAUCCCCAGCAGUAGCACAAGGAAACAGAACCUGUCUUGGCAAUGGGAGAAUUGAAAUACCAGUGGAGUGGCUAUGGAGUCGGAGAGCAGCACUUAGGGUGAGGGGACUAAUUCUUCUGGGGUGUCCUCUCUGGUUGGCCCACAUGGUUUUUGGUCCUUUGCCAGGUGAUGAAAAGUCAAAGAACAAGUUCAUGUGAGAGAAGAAAAGUAGUGUAUUUGAAACCUACAUGUCCAAGGAGGCAGUUUCAGAGGGCUUAAAGAGAGCAUUACUUAUCCAGGUGCAGUAUUGGGAAGUUGUUAUGGAAGAUGUUGGGAGAGAUGAGAACAUGAUAGCCAUGUUCAGAAGGGGCUUCAGUUUGGGGCAAUGACCAAGGAGAAAUGAGGAGGAAGAUUGUAGAAUUGGCUGUUUGAGAUCCCAGAAGCACCAUGUCAGAGUUCCUCCUGCAGUAGAAUAUUGAUUUAUAGGGCAUCAACCUUGUUUGAAACCAUCUGAUAUGAAGCACAGCUGAGCUCGGACUACAAACUCUCACUCUUUGACCUGCAGUCAUCAUCCUACCAGUCCUUGCAGCAGAUGCUCGUCAGCCUUGGUGAGAGCAGUUUUUUAUGUGCUCACUGUCCCCAAGAUGUUGACCACAGCUCUGAUGAAGUAUGAUUUGUUGUCACAACAGACUCUGAAGGCAAAAUCAGCAAUCAAACACUCCUCAUUAAUUUGAUAAAGAUUGAUAGAACACCUGCUGCAUAAUUAGUGCCAGCCCUUGGUAUAAUAUUUAAGAUGCUCAAAGGCUGUCAAGCUAUCUAAGUCACUAAUUUCAAUACUGGAUGAUUGGCAGCAAGGUAUAGCAACUCUGGUGCUGGGAAGUAUGGCAGUCCAGCCAGCAGACUUGGGAGACAGAGCAGGUGUCCCUGGGAGAGAGAUGCCUGAGCCAGGUGUCCCUGACCCUCACAUUUCUUCCCUUCAUCCCACCUGGCUCAAGCCUCUGACCAAGGGGAAGAGAAGACACAGGCCUCUUCCAUUUCCCCAGCCUUGCAGGCUUCCAUGUUGCUGUUCAGUGAGUGCACCCUCUUGGCCUGUCCUCUAGGCUGUGACUUUCAUGGUUGGGGCUCAUUCUCCCAGGCUUGAAUCAUCUGGGGAACUGGGGCAGCCUGCAGCUCCCCUCAUCCGGUCCCUAACUGUCCCAUUCUAGCUCCUCUGUCACCUGCCUCUACCCAGAAGAUAUUCACUGUAACUAACAAAGUCUUUGAAGUUGAAUGUUGAGGACUUUUCAAUAACCUGCCCUUUCCUGUAUGUAUAGGAACACUCAAGUUUCCCAUUGAAAAAUAAAAUGUACUCAUUGCCCAGGAUAAUAAUUUAUUAUCUAUUAUAAUCACAGUUUUAAAGUCUGUCUAGCACUAUGGGACUUAUUUUCCAAUGUGCACCGAAACUGUCCCAGCUGUUCCCAUUAAUAACUUAAUAAAGUAAAAAGUAUAUUUGCAUACACUCACAUGAAUCCCCACUUUGUGCCAGUGCCUGAAUGGUAGGCAGCAAGGCAUCCUUGACGUGCCACCACAGCUAUGGCAUCUGGUCUCCUGCCUCUACAUGCUCUCUCCACGGACCCUGGUUCUGGCAGCUCUUUCAUGUUCAUAUUUACCACGAGAUUCAGUACUCUGCAUUGCAUUGCCUCACUUACAAAUAAGCCUUUCUGGAAGUCAUUUGGCUUUACAUUUUUUGAGCUUUCACAUCCAUGAAUCAGCUUGUAAGCUACAUUAUUGACUAGCUUCCUAGUCAAUAGGAUUAGAACCCCACUUCCUCUAGGAAGCUAGUCUAUAAUGUGGAUUGAAAGACUGGAGAAAAGCUUGAAAAAAAAAAAAACAAUUUUAAAGCAAUAGAGACUGCAGAGGUUGAAACCCUUUGCUCAGGUGGACUAGAAGAGAGAAGAGGAGAGGGAAGCGUGCUGGGGCCCAUCAUGGAAGAAAGUGCCAGCUUUAAUAUUAACAGUGCCACUUACCAUACAGUGGUGCUUCAGUAACACAUUCUCAGAGUGCUUCACUUGAUUUUGAAAGUAGCCCUUUGUGAUAGGUGAGACAACUAGUACAAUCCCUCUUUUUGAGACAAGCAUAGUGAAAAGGAAAAGGGCACCCAGCAAAGGACAGGCACAUGUGUAGGCAUGGAGGGUCAUCGUGGGACUUGGGAGGUGGGGCUGGAUGAUAUGAUGCACAGAAGGGGCCACAUCUAGGAGAGAGGAGCCAGGAGAUGGGUCCUACAGAUUAGAAUGCAAGUGAAUCAGGGAAGCUGAUGAGGUGGGAGGUAUUGGGGGCUAGGUCAGGGAGCCUCUUGGAAUGAGGAGCAGAGUGGGUCAUGCUCCCAACUACAGUGACUCUUGUGCUGCCUGCAAGACAGGAAGCCCCAGUGACUUAAGGUGUCAUGAAAUCAGUCUUGUUGGAUCAUAGAACAGAGCUCUGUGUGUGAACCCUGCUCUCACUGGUGAUCAGAAGAAGAAAUGGAUGCUAAAGUCUGUCGCUCUUGGGGAGAAGAGGCAGUGGCAUUUGUGCCUAGGACCUGACAGUAAUGCCUAUUGUCCUUGAUGGGGCUCACUCACCAGGAGGAUUACCCUGAAGUAAAAGUAAAUGCUUCAGCAUCUCUCUGCUUGGGACAUGGUACUUUCUUCUCAAAAGGAGCACUUUGGUCUUAUGUGCUAAAACUUCAAGAGAAAACAAUUAGUAAUUAGUAUAUUAGUGAAUAAAUGAAUAUUGUGUCAGGUACAAAUCUUGUGCCAAGCUGGGAGCACCAGGUGGGUAGGAUAGACAUAUGACCCUUAUUCUAGUGAAGCUCAAGAUCCAUCAGUCAAAAAAUCUCUAACAUAGAAAUGCACAGACAACUAAUCAUAAGUCUGAUUAAAAACCAUAAAGUAAAUAUAUAGGGUAUGUUGAAGGAGUUUCAAGAGAUCAAAAUGGCUUCCCUAGGGAAAUGACUUAAGACUGUCAGUUAUCUCUACUAAUGAUGGAGGACAAAGGCAUAGAUCAUCUAAAAACUGGUGUCUGGUCUCAAAUCAUUUCCCAUGUUUAGAUUGCAGUCUUAAUACAUUCAUACAUUAAUAUACUUAAGUGUCUGCCAUUUCCCUUCAUCUUGGGUAUUUCCCUAUUUUGUUCUAUCCAGACAUGCUGUUAAGGUAAAAUAAACAAUCUGUGAUAUGCUUUGAUAUCCCAGGAAAGUUUGAUCACAGCAUUCUCUAAUUAGAGUGUUAUUUAAUAUUAUAAGUCCUGGGCUAAGAUAAAGGAAAAAACAGGAAGAUGGUUACUUAAAUACUACAGUGUCAUCUAAGAUGUCCCUUGCAUUUGAGAAGUUCAGUCAAUAUGAGGUUCAGAGGAAAUGAACUUGGAGUAAAACCAUAGUGCAGGUGAUUUUUGACAUAAUGCUUUCCAUUUACUUUUUUAUCCUUAGCACUUUUAUAUCAUCCAAAGCCAUAUUUUACAAGUUAAUGUGUUUUAUCAUAAGCUGGGCUCUUAUUCAAUUUUCUACCUCUGAAAAUGUUUUUAAACCUCAACUUAGAGAAUAAGAAAAUUGAAAAGCCAGAUAGAGGUGUUGAGCACAAAAAGGUAUAAGUUGGUUACUAUUAGAAAGUAUUAGUGGUUUCAGCAAUAGUUCACAUUUUAACAGAGAAUAUGGACCACAACUAAGUUUACACUUUUGCCUAAAUUUCUUUACUUUCAGACCAUUUGUGUUUUUAAUUGUCAUUCCAGUGUCCAGUCCCUUUGUCCUACCUCAUCUAAGUGUCCUAACCCAAUACGAUUUGUCCUUACCAUUCUUCAAUCAUUUAAUACCUUGUUUUCAUUAAUAUCCUGCUCGCUUGGCACAAGGUUCAUCCUGAUAAAAUAUUCAUUUAUUCACUAAUAUACUAAUUACUAAUUAAUACCUUGUGUUUAUAUUGGAACUCCCUAAAUAAACAGUGACCUACUGUACAGUAAUUAUUAGGGUAGAAAUAGUAAAAUGAGAGAAAAAUAAAUACAUAUUGAAUAAAAGAAAUGUGAGGGCUGGGGUUGUGGCUCAGUGGUAGAGCACUCACCUAGCAUGCAUGAGGCAUUGGGUUCAAUCCUCAGCACCACAUGAAAAUGAAAUAAAAUGGUAUUGUAUCUACCUAUAACUAAAAGUAUAUAUUUAAAAAAAAGAAAUAUGAGAUGAACUGUUGUUCUAAUACCCAGGAGAUCAUGCCUUUCCACAGUAGCAUAAGCACUUAGAAAAUCGAAAAUAGCUUUAUAAAAGGCAGACUUCUCUCUUUUUAUAAUUCAAUUCAUCUUUAUGUGCCACUCUAGAUCUUCCUGGAACUAAAACAAAGUGCAGAGUGAAAACUUUAAAAAGAUCACUUAGUGUUAAUCUGGGAUUUAUAUCUGUAUGGUGUCCUCACUUGCCCAGCCUGUGCCUUGUGUUGAGCCAUAGUCAAGCCUCAAUUGCCACAUCCUCAUCUCUCUGAGAAAGAUUGGGUAGUGGUCUGAGUUUGGCUUUCAUUUUCAAUCCUUUUACCUAUUUAGUCUGGCAGCUCUUCCUGGAGUUUCCCAAAGCACUACUUAUUGACCCUUUUAUACUAUUGCCUUAUAUAUAUGCGUUAUGCCUGGCAUAUGUUUACUUAAAGAGCCUCCCCAUAAGUCAGAGAGGCAACAGGUACUGUAGAAAGAGAAGACCCAAAGGAGUAGUGUACCUGGCUUCAAGAUGACUCGGGAGUACCUGGCACUCAGGUAUGGGUCUGAAGCAACAAAGCUGAGGAGUGGACACCCUUUCUCCUGCAGCUGGCUGUUUUGCAUUCUGCUGAAGUUUUCUUUCUUUGCAUUGUUGGACAUGACCCCUGCAACGCCCCUGGCUUGCCUUUCUGGUCACCGUUGAAGAUUUUGACCAUGAUGAGCUCAUACUCAUAAUGACUUGUUGAAUUGUUUAUAUCUUUUGUUUGUUGCACACCUCAUUGGCUUGCUUACCAACACCAUCUAGAUAUGUUUUUUUUUUUUUUUUUGUAACCAAAGCAGAACACAUUUCAAUAUCCUGGGACUUUAUGUAGAGUGUGUACUGUUUGUUAUAUGAACAUAACCUACUUUGUUUUCUCAUAUUAACAAUUGCAAAUCUACUUUGUUUUAGUGGAGCUAUUUUGGUAACAUAUAAGUAAUUUUAGUUCUAUUCAGGGAGUGAAUUUAAGGUUUUCAUGAAUCAGUUUGAGCUUUAUUUCAUAUCAAUGAUAGAUCCAUUUUAAUUUAUUUAAAUAAAACAUUUCCUUUUUCUUUCA